GUGGAAAGAGAAGGAAAAAAGAAAGAUAAUUGAGCAAGUUCAUCAUACCCGGUAUGUGAAAAGCAUAUUGUGCUCCACCCAGUUUUCCGAGUAAUUUAUCUAAUUCAUUUGCGGUAUUUGAAUGCAGGUUCGCAGUCAGGGUCAAACUGAAAAAGCAUCAGCUAAAUUGAUGAAUACAGCUGUGUAAUACAAAAGUAGGCGAAAGCUGAUAAGCAAAAAUAAGCACAAGCUAACCUCUAGUUUUCCGCUCUGUAUUUCCAGAGCUCUGCCCAAGACGCCGAAGACUGGCUUUAAAACACGCAUUUUGCAAUCAGGCUCAGUAGGUAUAUAAAAAGUGUGGUUUAUGGUAGGACCUCUUUGGACUCGUCAAAAAGAAAACAAUCCUGGGAACUGGUCGGGACCCAUAUGGUUCCAUACUGGUUCCAUGGAUCGGCUCCAUGACACGUCAUAUUCUACCACGGCCCACCAUUCCCACUGUGAAGCUUAUAUGUGCGUGUUUGCGAUGGUUCAUUGAUUGACGUGUUUUUGUGUUUUUUUUUUGUUUUUUUUUCAGGUGGUAACCGAAGAUCCAAACGUCAUAACCGCCGGGCCGGGACCAGCAUUGACUCACGAGUCUACUGAGUCAUAUGGAGUCCUGUCGAGUCAUCCAGAGUCAACGGAGUCAUGGGAGUGACCAUGAAUCCUGGCGAGUCAUCCGUAGUCAACGGAAACAUGCAGAGUCACCUACUGUUUUAAUAAUGCAUCUGGAGUCAACAGAGUGACAUGACUCAACUGAGUCACCUGACUGGGCCACAUCCAGAUUAUGACCGAGUCGGUGGCAGUGAUCAGUGAGACAAAGAGGGACGGAAUUGUGCCAGAGUGCGGCACAAACAGCUGACUGCUGAUGUGUGACGUCACAGUCUCUCACGCAGACAGAUAGUUUUGUUUGACAUUGCGGGAGGGGAUAUACGUGUUCACACAUUCCAAACUAGUGGGUGUCUGUGUCAGGGAUAUUAUUAGAAAUGGCUGACUAUAAAUAUCGUCAGUUCUGAGAUGAUGUAUUGAUUUCUCGGUCACACAUUCCAAACUAGCGUCUGUCUAGAGACAUUCCUAGAAUUAUCUGGCUGUAAAUGUCGUCAUUUCUGAGACAAUAUAUUCGUUUAUCAGUCACACAU